ensembl:misc_RNA 7SK 7SK RNA
GGAUGUAAGACCAUCUGGCUGGAACAUUUGUCACCCCAUAGCUUGCCAGGUUGAUCUGGCUGAUCUGGCUGGCUGGGCAGGUGCCCCUUGCUCCCUCACCGCUCCAUGCUUGGUGGGAUACGGGAGGACCGUUUCCUUGGUCAAGGGUAUAUGAGUCGCUGCACUCCCCUGCCAGAACCUGCACAAGCUCUCAGAGUCUUUGGGAAGAACUAGGGGUAUAGCUCAGUAGUAGUGUGUUUGC